rnacentral:tRNA from 1 species
GGGGAUGUAGCUCAGCAGUAGAGCACUUGCCUAGCAUGUAUAAGCCCUGGGCUCCAUCCCCA